UGGGGGAUAUUGCACAAUGGGCGAAAGCCUGAUGCAGCGACGCCGCGUGGGGGAUGAAGGCCUUCGGGUUGUAAACUUCUUUUGCUCUGAACAAGGCAUGCUAAUGGGUGUGUUGAGUGUAGGGGUUGAUUAGCGCCGGCUAACUACGUGCCAGCAGCCGCGGUAAUACGUAGGGCGCGAGCGUUGUCCGGAAUUAUUGGGCGUAAAGGGCUUGUAGGUGGCUGGUUGCGUCUGUCGUGAAAGCUCAUGGCUUAACUGUGGGUUUGCGGUGGGUACGGGCUGGCUUGAGUACAGUAGGGGAGGCUGGAAUUCCUGGUGUAGCGGUGGAAUGCUCAGAUAUCAGGAGGGAUACCGGUGGCGAAGGCGGGUCUCUGGGCUGUUACUGACACUGAGGAGCGAAAGCAUGGGGAGCGAACAGG
rnacentral:rRNA from 1 species